GGAGUGGGCCGAGCGUCCGCUGCGGGCGACGAUCCGGCCCUGGUCGGUUCGAUCGUCCGGGGAGGAAAGUCCGGGCUCCGCAGGACACGGUGGUGGGUAACGCCCACCGUCCGCAAGGACCGGGACAGUGCCACAGAAAACAAACCGCCGAUGACCCGCUUCGGGAACAGGCAAGGGUGAAAAGGUGCGGUAAGAGCGCACCGCGUCGCCGGCGACGGCGAUGGCAUGGCAAACCCCACCGGGAGCAAGACCAAGCAGAGUCAAGAGGGCCUCGGCCCUCGCGAGGCGGUCCGUCUCGCCACAGGCUCGGGUAGGUUGCUCGAGGCGCCGGGCAACCGGCGUCCCAGAGAAAUGGGCGCUCUCGACAGAACCCGGCUUACAGGCCCGCUCCGGUU
rnacentral:RNase_P_RNA from 1 species